CUUGAUGGAGCCCAGCCACAGCGGCUCCGCGUCCCCGCGGCCUUGCCCGUACGUCGCGAGCAGCGCCUGGGCCUC
rfam:Streptomyces roseus strain ATCC 31245 contig_178, whole genome shotgun sequence.